AUUGAACGCUGGCGGCAGGCCUAACACAUGCAAGUCGAACGAGUGGCGGACGGGUGAGUAAUGUCUGGGAAACUGCCUGAUGGCGGGGGAUAACUACUGGAAACGGUAGCUAAUACCGCAUACCAUCGGAUUUGCCCAGAUGGGAUUAGCUAGUGGGUGGGGUAAAGCCUCACCUAGGCGACGAUCCCUAGCUGGUCUGAGAGGAUGACCAGCCACACUGGAACAGAGACCCUGUCAAGACUCCUACGGGCGGCAGCAUUGGGGAAAAUUGCAAAAUGGGCGCAAGCCUGAUGCGGCAAUGCGGCGUGUAUGAAGAAGGCCUUCGGGUUGUAAAUUACUUUCAGGGGGGAGGCGUUACCCGCAGAAGAAGCACCGGCUAACUCCGUGCCAGCAGCCGCGGUAAUUC
rnacentral:rRNA from 1 species